rnacentral:lncRNA from 1 species
CCUAUCAAGGACCGACUUUCGUUUUCCUGCCCAUGCCCACAUGAUUAGAAGUGGGAUCCAAGAUAUGAGUAUCAUUUCUGUCCCUGGCAGGAGAAACAGCAUCAUGUUCUGAAACAGAAUGAGUAGCUUGUGGUUAUUUCUGCCACAGCUGAACUCUGAUCUUUCUUUUCUAUAGUGAAUGGAUUAGACUGUCCCAAGUAAAAUCAGUUGAAAACUUGUAGGUGAAAACAUCUUCACAUCUUAGGUUUCUUUAUAGCUCCCUUAAGAUCUGGUCCUGAGAGUAGCUUUUUUAUUUUUUUUUUUAUUUAUUUAUUUUUUUUUAUUUAUUUUUUAAGAUUUAUUUACUAUUCAUGAGAAACAGACACACACACACACAGAGAGAGAGAGAGAGAGAGAGAGAGAGAGGCAGAGACAUAGGCAGAGGGAGAAGUAAGCCCCUCACAGAAGCGGGCCCAAUGUGCGACUCGACCCUGGAUCCCAGGAUCACGACCUGAGCCUAAGACAGGUGUGCAACCGCUGAGCCACCCAGGCGUCCCCUGAGAGUAGCCUUUCUUGAUUCAGGUCUAUAUGAGCAGAUGAGUCUAAAUUUCUUCCUUCAUGAAUGCCUAGGAAGAAGCUUUCCCACAUACCUUUAUACAAAUGAGGUAGUUACAAAAUGCAUUAGUCACUAUGGCAAAAAGAGCCUAAAUUUUGAUGCUGUUGCUUCUCUUCCUAAAAAUGAAAACCAGGUCUAAAAACAACAACAACAACAAAACAGCCAUGAGAUGAAAGUAUAUGCAUCGCUGGCUCUUCAUGACUAGCACAGCCAUGACUCAUGGUCCUAAGAAGCAUCUGAAGCAUGUGGAAGCUCCAAAGCAUUGGAUGCUGGAUAAACUGACUGAUGUGUUUGCCCCUUGUCCAUCCAUUGGUCCCCUUGAUAGCUUUACCUUGUCCCUUGAAUUUCCUUUGUGA